CUACGUGCCAGCAGCCGCGGUAAUACGGAAGGUUCGGGCGUUAUCCGGAUUUAUUGGGUUUAAAGGGAGCGUAGGCCGUAGAUUAAGCGUGUUGUGAAAUGUAGAUGCUCAACAUCUGACUUGCAGCGCGAACUGGUUUACUAGAGUGUGCACAACGUAGGCGGAAUUCGUCGUGUAGCGGUGAAAUGCUUAGAUAUGACGAAGAACUCCGAUUGCGAAGGCAGCUUACGGGAGCACAACUGACGCUGAAGCUCGAAGGUGCGGGUAUCGAACAGGAUUAGAUACCCUGGUAGUCCGCACAGUAAACGAUGGAUGCCCGCUGUUGGUACUUGGUAUCAGCGGCUAAGCGAAAGCAUUAAGCAUCCCACCUGGGGAGUACGCCGGCAACGGUGAAACUCAAAGGAAUUGACGGGGGCCCGCACAAGCGGAGGAACAUGUGGUUUAAUUCGAUGAUACGCGAGGAACCUUACCCGGGCU
rnacentral:rRNA from 1 species